UCCUUUUCUACUUAAUACAUCCAAAAGGAAAAAAAGAAAGAAAAGAAAUUAUGAAGUUCAUUAAUAUUAUGAUUAUUUUCAUUUUUCUAUUUUUUAUGGUAGUAAAUGUUAACGGUAGGCUUUUUACUUAUCAUUUUUAAUAAAAAAUUUACUAAAUAAUAUUUUAUACUACUUUAAUAGUAUUGAUUUAUUCUCUCUCUCUUUUUUUUUCUUUCAUUUCAGCUGAUGUUGUUAAAUGUAUUUAUGAUUCCGAUUGUCCACUAGAUUUUUGCCCAGUAUUUCUUGACAUAAGUUGUGUAAGGAAGAGGUGUAAAUGUACUUCAGAGUAAAAAAAGAAAAUGAGAUAUAUCUUUUAAUUAUUGGUAAGUCUUUUUAUUUGAUGUUUUUAUUAAAUGUACUGAAAACAUAGAUACUGAUAUAUUUAGGGUUAAUUAGUACCACACUCCCUUAAUUUAAUCUAAAGUUUCAUUUAGUUUUUUUAUUUAAUAAAUGUUAUGUUUUAGUUUUUCAAAAAUCAUUUCUUUAAUCAAUUUAAUCUAUUCUAUUCGUUUUUAAUUUUUAAUUUUGAAUAUCUUAAGUAAGACAGUGUUUAUAUUAAACUUAACAAUAUUUUUUUAUUAAAAUAUUAAAGUAUAUUCAACAUUAUUUUUCACAAUGUUUAUCUCAUUAAAGUAAUAUUAUUUUAUUUAUCUCAUUAAAGUAACAUUGUUUUAUUUUAUUUUUUCUUUACAGCAGGUAUUUGACAUAAUUUCAAGAUUUUGAUUGCCUACAAAAUAUGGAAUGUGUCGGGUUGAUUUAGAAUAAUUGUCAUUUAACUGUUGUAUUACUCUUUUACAAUAACUGUGAUAAUGUAUGUAAUAUAUUUUUUCAUUUCAAAAAGUAACUUGCAUGACUAAAGUCAAAAUAAUAAUAUAUAUAAAAUGAAUACAUUAUUAUUUGUUAAAAGACCAUAGUAAAGUUUAAAAUAGCAUUGUGAUUAUAUAUAUA
rnacentral:lncRNA from 1 species